GUGAUUCUGUUCUUGUUAUGUCGAAUAAAAAAAAAGAACUUAACAAAGUGGAAUGUCCGACUACUGUUCUUAACCCAAAUCAAAGAAAAGAACAGAAAUACUCGACCAGGAGAGGAGACCACUGACCAAUCUCCGUCCAUUUUCCCUUGCCUUCCUUUAUGGGUAUGCCUGUUUUAGGGGACCUUAUAGUAAUAAUAGUCUAAUAGACCAACUAGAGGAGAGGAAUCCUUCAUGAAUCGCCUUGCCUUGCUUAAAGAGGUUUAUGAAAAACCGCCCGUGGAACUCUUGUUUUGAGGAAGCAAUGAACAUUGUCUUUUUCCAUUCUCAAUAAAUGAGGAAGGAGGGGUGAGGUCCUCACUUGCGAGUGAGGCAAGGCUUUCUUUUAUAAUACAUCCUACCCUAUUUUGGUUGACGAUUGCGUUCUAUUCCAAUUAUUCACUUGUUUUUCUUGUCACUGUGGCGAGACCAGAUGAGAGAGAGAACUAUUUUCCAUUUCCAGACAGACCCCGAGCCGAGGUUGGAACAAUUCUUUUUUUUUGUUGGUUCCUUCUUUCUUAUUUUGAAUAAGUGAGUCUCUUCCAUUCGGUUCAUUAGCUUUAGGAAAAAUAGAAGCAGCGGAAAUGCUCGCUUCUAAAAGGCUUAAAGGCUCUGAUCAAGGCAAUGAACAUUUUUCACUUGGAAACUAAUAAGAAAGGAAUUCAAAUCAUAGUUCAAUACAUACUUUUUAUCCUUUAAGAAGGGUUAAACUUUCCUUCCAAUACUUGUGCGCUUUACCCAUCUCUACUGAACAAAUCCACUACACAUCGCUGGCAAAACCUACAUCGAGUGGCAGGGUAUGUGUGUAGGCCUUUUCAAGGACAUUCGAAACAACAUGUCGAUAAAUAGCUAUAGAAAGUGGGGCUAGAUCGAGAGUUCUGACCUUUUCUUUUCUUUUCUUUUCGUGGGUGAUCUUUCAAACUUUUGUUUUUCUAGCGAAAGAACGCCCUUCUGAGCGAUGAUCUCCUACAAGCGAGUAUAGUAAGGUUGACUUCAAUUGAGACAGAAAUGUCACUGGUCAGCUCCUUAGCGUGACAAUUAACAUCACUUUCUUAUUACCUAAGAGAUUAGAUAAGGGAAGAAGGCAGGCCAAAGCUUAUAGAUUCGGAGAUCGUACUUCUAACGCUUUGUCUGAGUCAGUCCUACGACCCCUUCCGGCUGAGACACGAAUCCUAGCCUAUCUGAGUCGCAGAAUGAAGGGCUCUUCAGAAGGCGCCACCCAAGUCUCCUUUGAGACUUCGGAGUCAGGAAUGAUUUUUCCAAGGAAGGCGGAUUUUCUUCGUUCCGCAGCACGAACAGGGUGUACAGAAGAUCGAUGUGCCAUCUUUCUAACCACGUUCAUUUGUUGUAUGAUCAGUAGGGAAGGGAGCCUUUGAUAAAGGGACCCCCAACCAAGAAAUCUACUGUCUCAGAGCGACAGUCAAGCUCGUAUCGCGGAACUAGAACAUUUCUUUGAUUGAUAGGUCAGAUAGGAAGCAGGCAAGCAAACCAAGUUAUAGGUUUGGAAGUUAGAACUAGGAAAGGUUGUCCUGUGACUACCUUUGAAGUCUUUGGGUAGGACAUCAGGCUAAGGUCUUAUGAUGAGCCACGCGCAUAUGAGGUUUACUGCAGUCCUAAAGCUCUGUCCCCUAUCCUACCACUAGAUCCCCUAUGCCGGAACAUGAACAGAGAAAGCUGUGAGUGUAGUCUUAGGAACGAACCCGGGGUUGCUCUCGCAAAAAGAUUGUACUAAAGAAAGCUAGAAAGCCCAAUUCCAAGCAAGCAACCUCUGGUCCACGGGUCGGUGAACGAAUGGGUUUUGGGAAAUAGAGAACAUGGACUCGAUUGAACAAAGGUGGCACCGGAAUGAAUAGCCCACUUGUUUCGGGCAAGAAUGAAUGGGACUGAUCGACUCGAGUUACCGAGCGACCUCCACUCUUCGACUCGAGCUUUCGCUUCUGCUUUUCUCUUUUUUGGAUUUAUUAGCUUUUUAGGGAAAGAAGAGGAAAUACAACUAUGUCUACGAGUGCCGCGAAUGAACCUUCGGUUCUUCCCAAGAACAAGGAGACACGAACUAAAUAACUCGUAUCAGGCUACGGGAAUAGUGAACGGGAAGAAGGAACUAGUGAGGCUUUCGUUGGUCAAACAAUAUGCCCUCCUCACUUGAGGAGAGUGAAGGUCAUGACUUAUUGAAGCAGAACGUCAAUUGGCCAAGAGAAGGGGAACUCCUUUCGUCGGUAACUAUUGAAUUGCCUAUCUAACAGUGGAGCGAAGCGGAACGUUGAACGGGAAACUCGUGUCGUCGGUUAUCCAAUUUCCCUCCUUUCUUCUGUUUCGACAAAGAAAACGUUUAGGUAUCGGUAAUAGGAUUCCCACUAUGAUUUGAAGAAAAAGAUAGAUUCUAUUCUUUAAUAAUCCACAAAUAAUAUAUAGAAUCAGGCUCCGUAAUCAAGUGCUCGCUGUGAGAAGAAGAUCUACAGGCAUGUACCCAUUUCUCCCUGCAAAAUAAGUUUGAACCCGAGUGAGUAUGGACCAUACGCUCAUCUUUCUUCUCAAUCUACACCUCGUCCCGCGAGAGACCUAUCCUCGUUUCGAAAUAAAGGACCGUAGUGAGGAUCGACCCCGGAUAAGUGAGUCAGUGUAGGGACAGAGGCUGAUGAUUCUAAAGGUGAUUUCAAACUACAAGAUGACUUUAUUUGAAAACGGAAUCCAAAUAUCAACAAAAAGAUGAAUGGAAAGUCUUGUCGAUAUGAAUUGAUCUUCAACCCAAUGACAAUGCUUCGAUUUCGAUCUUUACUUCUUUCUUGGAUGCCUGAAGUUUGUGUUCGCAUUUCAUCAAAGGAAAAGUGGGCUGUACCUACAUGAAGAAAAGAGUUGCUCGUGUAAAAGCAAUAUCUUCUAUUUUACUUAUCUAGCCGUGUCUUGUCUUGCACAUACUCGGCUCGGUGAAUGGUUCAUCUUCGAUUGGCAUGGUCCUUUGGAUGUAAGAGAUCUCGUUUGCUGGCCGGGCCCUUCCAUGAGUUUAGAUCUCUAUGUAUGAAUCUCUUAUGAAAUCCCAUACUUUUUAUCAUUUCAGAACGAUCAGCAUACUGUGUGACUUCUGCGUUACAGUUCUUGCAUUUCGUUUGUAGCUUUGCAUGAACAUUUAGAUAUUGGAAAGCGAACUCCCUUAAUUAGGAAUUUCAUAGAUAGAGAAGGACGGGAAAAAAGAGAGAGACUGACUAACUACCCGGAUCAAUGCUGAUUGACGACUGAAUAAAUAGCCGGAAGCAACAACUGCACGAGAGAGAAAGAGCGGAUCCAACUAAGGAAAUGCAGUACCUGUUCUGUCGGAGCUAAUCAUGCAAAGCUAGCGUAGCGCCAGCCGUCGAAGUGAAUGAAUUCGAAAGAACGAAGAAGUAAGGAAAUGAGACGACUCUUUCUUGAACAAUUUCAUAAGCAGAUCUUCCCCUCCACACCAAUCACGAGUUUUUUUUUAUUCCUCUCGUAUAUCGUCGUCACGCCCUUAAUGAUAGGUUUUGAAAAAGAUUUUUCAUGUCAUUCCCAUUUAGGUUCGAUUCGGAUCUCUCUGUUGUUUCCCUUUCCUCCCGAACCUUUUCUUCGAAAUGAUAAAGAAUCUGGUACACUCGAAUUGUAUUAUUUAAGUGCUUAUUGCUUGCCAAAAAUCCUACUUCUACAAUUGGUAGGUCACCGGGUUAUUCAAAUAAGUCGUGUUUUCUGUGCUUUUCCCAUGUUACAACUUCCGUACCAAUUCGAUCGAUCCGGAAUGGAUCGGUUAAACAUUCUAUUAGGGAGCCCGGUCUUGACUCUUCUGUGUGGUAUUCAUUCUCGUUCGGCUCUUGGAGUCACAUCCAGCAGUGGUUGGAACAGCUCGCAAAAUCCAACCACUUCACCUACUUUAUUGCCCCCAACCGUUUCCUGUACCUCUAUAGAAACAGAAGGGUUUCAUGUUCUUUCAUCGAUUGGGUAUUCCUCUCCUUUUGUAUCUCUUUAUCCAAUUUCGGUCUCGAUUAGUUCACAAGAUUGAAUGGCCAAGUCAUGGAAAAGCCGUUAUUCGAUUGUUUUAAAAGAAUGUUGAGCCGGGCCCGGGUAUGUAAGUUCAGCGAUGUACAAACAAGGAUUGAUUUGACUUCCGCACCUAGGUUGGGGGGUAGGUGAGGGUGGGGGGUGAUAUUAUGGCUGAAUAAGGAAGAGGAAUAGAAUCUCAUUCAUGUGUUCAUGCUAACAGAAGAGCGGAUCCAAUACACAUAAGGCAUCGGUUGUUCUUAACAGCGAUGGCUAUUCAUUUAAGCCCUAAAGAACUAGCUUCCUGGCGGACUUACUCACUCGAUCACCGGCUUUAAGAGGAUUCCCCCACUUAAGAAUAAAGGGGCAUAGAUUACGAAAGGGCUACGUUCACUUGAUGAACGGUAAAAGGUAUUCUAUUGUUACUAACGUCAACUAAAAGCAAGGAGUUGGCAUCGGGAACGACAGUCGCUCGACGUAAGGAGAGGAAGGAAAUAUCAAUAGAGGAACGAAAACCGCAGGGUAUGAAAUUAGGGUAGGGUUGGCUGGGUAAGUCCAAUUGUUAUGAAAACCUUUCCUAUGCCGGGACCAGUCUGGCAUGGUAAUUUGGAAGACCUGGAGUUGGAUGAUAUGUUUGGAUUUGUGGGUCUUCUUAUUCGUACAGUAGGUUCUUUUCCUUACAGAUCAGGUUUCUUCUUUCUCGUCGUCCUAAUCCGGAUAUUAAGUUGAAUUCAAAAUUAUAUACAUACAAUAUUAUUAAUAACCCGCAAAUCCAUCACUUCAAGGGACACAAAAGGCGCGUCUUCCCGCCGGGCCCUACAAGCCUACGCCUAUUCUUUCCUAUGUUCGUUCUUGUCUCAUUUCUUUGAAAGUAAUAUCGUCCGUAACAAAAGAUCGAUUCAAUGCAUUUUCAUUUCUUUUCUCUCUCUAUCUGCGAGUGGUUCGGCUUUUUUCCUAAGCAAGGACGGUGCUGUCGAGUGAGGAUUGGCUGAGCGUGCUUUCGCUGCUCGUGGUGGAGUACUCUUUUCAUUAUUCGCUCUAUUAUUGCCUCAGGAUGUGAUCGGGAUUAAGCGGCGUAUAUGAUACCCCGGGGGGACCGGACUCAAGGGAUUCAUUCUUUUUCGCACUAAUGGAGUGCGGGAGUUCCACCAUUCAUUCUGGGCAAAAUAUCUAUGUGUAAGUCUAUUAAAAAAAGGACUUCUAAUAAAAAAUUAUUCUGCUACAGCAUAAGCUCGCCUAUAAAUAGAAGCUUCGGUGCACUCUCUAUUUUGCGGGACAAGAAAGAGUGAAAUGGGGAUCGCAGCAAGACUCGCGAUAAUUAGUCAACAAAUUUAAAAUAUAGAAAACGAGAAGAGGGCACUUUUGGAGAACUUCUGGGGGCAGAUGCCUAUCUACAAUGAAGGUGUGAUACUAGGUCAUCUGCUUCAUAUUCGGGAACAAACCCGCAGUCUGGAAAACAGGAAGAAGGCGCUGCUCCAAGAGCAGCAAGCGCUCAUUGUGGAGGCUGCCCACCGUAGAAACGAAAAUAUAAGAAGGAUCUAAAGAAGAAGAGGCAAUACCACCACAUGGCGCAAACCAGUAGGAACAAGAAAGAAGAGAGAGGGUUUGCUUGCUCUAUUUCAAUAUAUGAAAACAUAAUCUUAUCUAUUAAGUGAAAUAAUCUUAUCUAUUAUUUGUGAGCUCAACUACUCAUAAAGAAACAAGAAUUGAGAUAUUAGAUUAAAAAAGAUUCUCCAUCUUGAUCUUUUGCUGUGUCAAUGGUAUACAAUCAAUUGCAGAUCGGAUAAGGAUAGAGGAUGAGCGAUAAAUUCAUCUACUCUAUUUUUCUUCGCGGUGGGUUUAUGCGGGUGCCGGCAAAACAACCCACCCAUCGUACACUAUUGUUGUACAAGAAGAAUAAUUUUGAAGGUGCCGGCUUUUCACCAAACUA